rnacentral:rRNA from 1 species
ACGUACACUCCUACGGGAGGCAGCAGUGGGGAAUUUUGGACAAUGGGCGAAAGCCUGAUCCAGCCAUGCCGCGUGCAGGAUGAAGGCCUUCGGGUUGUAAACUGCUUUUGUACGGAACGAAACGGCCUUUUCUAAUAAAGAGGGCUAAUGACGGUACCGUAAGAAUAAGCACCGGCUAACUACGUGCCAGCAGCCGCGGUAAUACGUAGGGUGCAAGCGUUAAUCGGAAUUACUGGGCGUAAAGCGUGCGCAGGCGGUUAUGUAAGACAGUUGUGAAAUCCCCGGGCUCAACCUGGGAACUGCAUCUGUGACUGCAUAGCUAUAGUACGGUAGAGGGGGAUGGAAUUCCGCGUGUAGCAGUGAAAUGCGUAGAUAUGCGGAGGAACACCGAUGGCGAAGGCAAUCCCCUGGACCUGUACUGACGCUCAUGCACGAAAGCGUGGGGAGCAAACAGGAGUAGAUACCCCAGUAGUCCCAUGA